AAAUGGCUGUGAUGAUAAACACUUUCAGCAAACAUGCCAGUUCUGCUUCUGAGAAUUCAUGAGUGAAAAAGCUGUUUCCAUACAUUUGUACUCUUU